GACAGAGGAUGCAAGCGUUAUCCGGAAUUAUUGGGCGUAAAGCGUCUGUAGGUGGCUUUUUAAGUCUGCCGUCAAAUCCCAGGGCUUAACCCUGGACAGGCGGUGGAAACUACCAAGCUGGAGUACGGUAGGGGCAGGGGGAAUUUACGGUGGAGCGGUGAAAUGCGUAGAGAUCGGAAAGAACACCAACGGCGAAAGCACUCUGCUGGGCCGACACUGACACUGAGAGACGAAAGCUAGGGGAGCGAAUGGG
rnacentral:rRNA from 1 species